UACGGAGGGUGCGAGCGUUGUCCGGAAUCACUGGGCGUAAAGGGCGCGUAGGCGGCGCGGAUAGUCGGCGGUGAAAGCCCGGAGCUCAACUCCGGGUCGGCCGUCGAUACUUCCGGGCUUGAGCACUGUAGAGGCAGAUGGAAUUCCGGGUGUAGCGGUGGAAUGCGUAGAGAUCCGGAAGAACACCGGUGGCGAAGGCGGUCUGCUGGGCAGCUGCUGACGCUGAUGCGCGACAGCGUGGGGAGCAAACAGG
rnacentral:rRNA from 1 species